rnacentral:rRNA from 1 species
UACGAAGGGGCUAGCGUUGCUCGGAAUCACUGGGCGUAAAGGGUGCGUAGGCGGGUCUUUAAGUCAGAGGUGAAGUCCUGGAGCUCAACUCCAGAACUGCCUUUGAUACUGAGGAUCUUGAGUUCGGGAGAGGUGAGUGGAACUGCGAGUGUAGAGGUGAAAUUCGUAGAUAUUCGCAAGAACACCAGUGGCGAAGGCGGCUCACUGGCCCGAUACUGACGCUGAGGCACGAAAGCGUGGGGAAGCAAACAGGG